rnacentral:rRNA from 1 species
CUGCUGCCUUCCGUAGGAGUCUGGUCCGUGUCUCAGUACCAGUGUGGGGGACCUUCCUCUCAGAACCCCUACGCAUCGUCGCCUCGGUGGGCCGUUACCCCGCCGACUAGCUAAUGCGCCGCAUGCCCAUCCCCCGCCGGAAUCGCUUCCUUUGGCCGCAGACCCAUGCAGGUCCGCGGCGUUACGCGGUAUUAGUCGGGAUUUCUUCCGGUUAUCCCCCUGCGGGGGGCAGGUCGCAUACGUGUUACUCACCCGUGCGCCGGUCGCCGG